CGGCAAGACGGAAAGACCCCGUGAACCUUUACUAUAGCUUGACACUGAACAUUGAGCCUUGAUGUGUAGGAUAGGUGGGAGGCUUUGAAGUGUGGACGCCAGUCUGCAUGGAGCCGACCUUGAAAUACCACCCUUUAAUGUUUGAUGUUCUAACGUUGACCCGUAAUCCGGGUUGCGGACAGUGUCUGGUGGGUAGUUUGACUGGGGCGGUCUCCUCCUAAAGAGUAACGGAGGAGCACGAAGGUUGGCUAAUCCUGGUCGGACAUCAGGAGGUUAGUGCAAUGGCAUAAGCCAGCUUGACUGCGAGCGUGACGGCGCGAGCAGGUGCGAAAGCAGGUCAUAGUGAUCCGGUGGUUCUGAAUGGAAGGGCCAUCGCUCAACGGAUAAAAGGUACUCCGGGGAUAACAGGCUGAUACCGCCCAAGAGUUCAUAUCGACGGCGGUGUUUGGCACCUCGAUGUCGGCUCAUCACAUCCUGGGGCUGAAGUAGGUCCCAAGGGUAUGGCUGUUCGCCAUUUAAAGUGGUACGCGAGCUGGGUUUAGAACGUCGUGAGACAGUUCGGUCCCUAUCUGCCGUGGGCGCUGGAGAACUGAGGGGGGCUGCUCCUAGUACGAGAGGACCGGAGUGGACGCAUCACUGGUGUUCGGGUUGUCAUGCCAAUGGCACUGCCCGGUAGCUAAAUGCGGAAGAGAUAAGUGCUGAAAGCAUCUAAGCACGAAACUUGCCCCGAGAUGAGUUCUCCCUGACUCCUUGAGAGUCCUGAAGGAACGUUGA
rnacentral:rRNA from 1 species